UUCCUACCUAAGUUGAUAGCCCUAGCGGCAU
rnacentral:sRNA from 1 species